rnacentral:misc_RNA from 1 species
AACGAGGCCGACCUGCGGCUGAGUUACCUGCGGAAGGAUCAUUAAAAAAGGGUCUUUCGACCCAUUUUUUUUAAAAAUUCACUACCAGUUUUACUGGAAGUGGGUUUUUUUCAAACACCAAAUUUUAAACUAUUCGUCUUUUGACGAAACCCAAAAUUAAUAAAUAAAACUUUUAACAACGGAUCU